AACGGGUGAGUAACACGUGGGUAACCUGCCCAUCAGAAGGGGAUAACACUUGGAAACAGGUGCUAAUACCGUAUAACACUAUUUUCCGCAUGGAAGAAAGUUGAAAGGCGCUUUUGCGUCACUGAUGGAUGGACCCGCGGUGCAUUAGCUAGUUGGUGAGGUAACGGCUCACCAAGGCAACGAUGCAUAGCCGACCUGAGAGGGUGAUCGGCCACACUGGGACUGAGACACGGCCCAGACUCCUACGGGAGGCAGCAGUAGGGAAUCUUCGGCAAUGGACGAAAGUCUGACCGAGCAACGCCGCGUGAGUGAAGAAGGUUUUCGGAUCGUAAAACUCUGUUGUUAGAGAAGAACAAGGAUGAGAGUAAAAUGUUCAUCCCUUGACGGUAUCUAACCAGAAAGCCACGGCUAACUACGUGCCAGCAGCCGCGGUAAUACGUAGGUGGCAAGCGUUGUCCGGAUUUAUUGGGCGUAAAGCGAGCGCAGGCGGUUUCUUAAGUCUGAUGUGAAAGCCCCCGGCUCAACCGGGGAGGGUCAUUGGAAACUGGGAGACUUGAGUGCAGAAGAGGAGAGUGGAAUUCCAUGUGUAGCGGUGAAAUGCGUAGAUAUAUGGAGGAACAC
rnacentral:rRNA from 1 species